UACGGAGGGUGCAAGCGUUAUCCGGAUUCACUGGGUUUAAAGGGUGUGUAGGCGGAUAUUUAAGUCAGUGGUGAAAUCUCCAGGCUCAACCUGGAAACUGCCAUUGAUACUAUUUAUUUUGAAUAUCGUUGAGGUAGGCGGAAUAUGUCAUGUAGCGGUGAAAUGCUUAGAGAUGACAUAGAACACCAAUUGCGAAGGCAGCUUACUAAACGAUUAUUUACGCUGAGGCACGAAAGCGUGGGGAUCAAACAGG
rnacentral:rRNA from 1 species